rnacentral:rRNA from 1 species
UACGGGGGGGGCGAGCGUUGUUCGGAAUUACUGGGCGUAAAGGGCUCGUAGGCGGCCUUCUUAGUCGGACGUGAAAUCCCCCGGCUCAACCGGGGAACUGCGUCCGAUACUGGGAGGCUCGAAUCCGGGAGAGGGAUGCGGAAUUCCAGGUGUAGCGGUGAAAUGCGUAGAUAUCUGGAGGAACACCGGUGGCGAAGGCGGCAUCCUGGACCGGUAUUGACGCUGAGGAGCGAAAGCCAGGGGAGCAAAC